GCGGCGUGCUUAACACAUGCAAGUCGAACGAUCCUUCGGGAUAGUGGCGGACGGGUGAGUAACGCGUGGGAAUCUGCCCUUAGGAGGGGGAUAACGGCUGGAAACGACCGCUAAUACCCCAUAUGCCGAGAGGUGAAAUGAAUUUCGCCUGAGGAUGAGCCCGCGUCUGAUUAGCUAGUUGGUGGGGUAAAGGCCUACCAAGGCGACGAUCAGUAGCUGGUCUGAGAGGAUGAUCAGCCACACUGGGACUGAGACACGGCCCAGACUCCUACGGGAGGCAGCAGUGGGGAAUUUUCCGCAAUGGGCGAAAGCCUGACGGAGCAACGCCGCGUGAGGGAUGAAGGCCUCUGGGCUGUAAACCUCUUUUCUCAAGGAAGAAGAACAGACGGUACUUGAGGAAUAAGCCACGGCUAAUUCCGUGCCAGCAGCCGCGGUAAUACGGGAGUGGCAAGCGUUAUCCGGAAUUAUUGGGCGUAAAGCGUCCGCAGGCGGCCUUGUAAGUCUGUUGUUAAAGCGUGGAGCUCAACUCCAUUUAAGCAAUGGAAACUACAAGGCUGGAGUGUGGUAGGGGCAGAGGGAAUUCCCGGUGUAGCGGUGAAAUGCGUAGAUAUGGGGAAGAACACCAGUGGCGAAGGCGCUCUGCUGGGCCAUAACUGACGCUCAUGGACGAAAGCCAGGGGAGCGAAAGGGAUUAGAUACCCCUGUAGUCCUGGCCGUAAACGAUGAACACUAGGUGUCGGGGGAAUCGACCCCCUCGGUGUCGUAGCCAACGCGUUAAGUGUUCCGCCUGGGGAGUACGCACGCAAGUGUGAAACUCAAAGGAAUUGACGGGGGCCCGCACAAGCGGUGGAGUAUGUGGUUUAAUUCGAUGCAACGCGAAGAACCUUACCAGGGUUUGACAUCCUGCGAAUCCCUUGGAAACGAGGGAGUGCCUUCGGGAGCGCAGUGACAGGUGGUGCAUGGCUGUCGUCAGCUCGUGUCGUGAGAUGUUGGGUUAAGUCCCGCAACGGGCGCAACCCACGUCUUUAGUUGCCAGCAUUCAGUUGGGCACUCUAGAGAGACCGCCGGUGAUAAACCGGAGGAAGGUGUGGAUGACGUCAAGUCAUCAUGCCCCUUACAUCCUGGGCUACACACGUACUACAAUGCUACGGACAAAGGGCAGCAAGCUCGCGAGAGUUAGCAAAUCCCAUAAACCGUGGCUCAGUUCAGAUCGUAGGCUGCAACUCGCCUACGUGAAGGAGGAAUCGCUAGUAAUCGCAGGUCAGCAUACUGCGGUGAAUACGUUCCCGGGCCUUGUACACACCGCCAGAGACAGAAAGCAAAAAGAGUAAAAGGCAUAAAGUAGCGAACAAACAGGCAUAUAGU
rnacentral:rRNA from 1 species